GAUGAACGCUGGCGGCGUGCCUAAUACAUGCAAGUCGAGCGAACGGACGAGAAGCUUGCUUCUCUGAUGUUAGCGGCGGACGGGUGAGUAACACGUGGAUAACCUACCUAUAAGACUGGGAUAACUUCGGGAAACCGGAGCUAAUACCGGAUAAUAUUUUGAACCGCAUGGUUCAAAAGUGAAAGACGCUCUUGCUGUCACUUAUAGAUGUAUCCGCGCUGCAUUAGCUAGUUGGUAAGGUAACGGCUUACCAAGGCAACGAUGCAUAGCCGACCUGAGAGGGUGUCCGGCAACACUGGAACUGGAACAGGGUCCAGACUCCUACGGGAGGCAGCAGUAGGGAAUCUUCGGCAAUGGGCGAAAGCCUGACGGAGCAACGCCGCGUGAGUGAUGAAGUUCUUCGGAUCGUAAAACUCUGUUAUUAGGGAAGAACAUAUGUGUAAGGAACUGUGCACAUCGUGACGGUACCUAAUCAGAAAGCCACGGCUAACUACGUG
rnacentral:rRNA from 1 species